GUGCUCGCUUUGGCAGCACAUAUACCAAAAUCGGAACGAUACAGAGAUUAACAUGGCCCCUGCACAAGGAUGACAACACAAAUUCAUGAAGUGUUCCAUAUUUUU
ensembl:snRNA U6 U6 spliceosomal RNA